AGGGUACGAUUGAAGCUGGUGGUGUUGUCAACACGUGGAGCAUAGUCAAGGAGAAAGGACGGCUCAACAUGUUAGAUUUUGAUCCUGAUCCAACAUUACGUCAAUCGUUUUGGAGUCUUUUUGUUGGAGGUAUAAUAUACGGGUUCUCGUGGUCAUUCACUCAAGCAACAUAUCAAAGGAUCAAAGCAACACCGACUGUAUCAACAGCGAAGAAAAUGUUUCUAAUUUCGGCCUUACUAUCGCUGUUUAUAUCUGGGCUGGCGGUCAUGGAAG